AGGUAGCAAGUUAGUUGCCUGGGAGAGCCAUGUUGUUUGUUGCUCAAUGAAAGAAAAGAAAUUGCCCAAAAUCCAAGUUGACAAGAUAAUGCCAUUUACAAAUGGUGCACAAAACCCGCAGAGAUCAUCAACUUAGGGCACCAAGAUUUACACUUUAAUCAUCAGCAAUUUAUCUUACUGAUAACUCAAUCAACUUGGAUAUUUCUCACCAUUGACUUAAGAAAGCAGAGCAGACACUGUGCUGGGGACUUUGAGCAAUGCAGAGGAAUGGAGAAUGCCCCCCAAGAACUUAGAAGAGAUGGACAUUUGCAUUAUUCUCUGUAAUGACUGCACAGUGUGAGUCCAGCCUACAAAAGGCCACCGAGUUGAUUGAUUCGGAAGUUCAGUGAUAUUAAGGCUCUUUCCUUUUCUCUGGUCUACCAUCCUGGGCAUUUCCUUCAACCUCAAGUUGUGUUUGCUCCAGGUUAUCGGCAUUGUGCCUGCACUGAAUAAAAACAAGCAGCUCCAACUUCUCAGGGCUGCUCUCUGGCCACUAGAGCCAGGCAGUCACCUAGCUGCUGUUAUGCUGCAUACCUGUCUCUGAGUACUCGCUUCAUCCAUCGGCCAGGGUCUGUGGGACAGACCAGGCAGGUGGUGCCCCAUGUGAGGAACGCUGCAAUGGAUUGCAAGGGAACCCCUGAAAACAAAUGUGAAGUGACUGAGCAGUGUUAACCUUAGAAGACUAGAACCUAAUGAGUUAUGGCAAACAGAUGUUAUGCACGUCCCUGAAUUUGGAAAACUAAGGUCCUCUUUGGAUUCCAGCACGAGGCAUCAAACCAUACCAUGGCAUGGCUAGGACCCAACCCGGUACCAAAAUGAAGAAAAUGACCCUACAGGACCCACAAUCCCGGAUGAUGUGGCUUCCUUGGAUGACACAGGCCCUGGACAUUACCUGGGGGAUGCUGAAGAAGACAACUCAGGAGGCCAAGCAAAUCCUGCUCCAGGCACAGACACCAUUCACUCCAGGAAGCUGCCAUUCAUUCGACAUAAGUAGGUGCUUCAUCUGAUAAGCGCUGCUUGUGUAAUUUAUCAAUGACAGAGAAGGCAGAUAGCAGCAUGCAUACUUGGGGCUGCAUUUGAAGGAGAGCAACAUCCCUUUGUUUUCACAGAGGAGAACAAGCAUGAGUUGAGAUUGUGGUGCUUCUUGAAGUCUCAUCCAGAUCAGAAACCUGCUGCUCUGUCCACAUUCCAUCCACCAAAGCAACCCAUAUGGCCAUGUCCAGCAUCAGAUGGGGAAAGGCAGUUCUCCUCUAGCACGAGGAGCUGCAAAGCCACAUGGCAAAGGAUGAGUGUGUAAAAAAUAAAUGCAGGAGGGCAGGAGGCAUUGGGAACAAUGA
ensembl:lncRNA LINC02826 long intergenic non-protein coding RNA 2826